rnacentral:rRNA from 1 species
UACGUAGGGACCGAGCGUUGUCCGGAAUCAUUGGCGUAAAGAGCGUGUAGGCGGCCUUUUAAGUCCUGCGUGAAAUCCUGCGGCUCAACCGCAGACGGUCGUGGGAAACUGGAAGGCUAGAGUGCGGGAGAGGAGAGUGGAAUUCCCGGUGUAGCGGUGAAAUGCGCAGAUAUCGGGAAGAACACCCGUGGCGAAGGCGGCUCUCUGGAACGCAACUGACGCUGAGACGCGAAAGCGUGGGGGAGCAAACAGGAUUAGAAACCC